CCAGUGCACGACAUAGAGCCCAGAUGGAAAACUUGCUUCCACAAAGCCUGCUUAAGGUAGACAGAAAAAGGGUGCCCACACUGUCACCCCAUUGCUAUGGGUUGUUUGUUCUCAUCCUUCUGCAUUCUCUUUGCCUCUGCAGUCUGUCAUUGCCCAGCAUUUCCUGCAGUGUUCUCUUUGGUCUCAGUUUUGGUGUUCUUUUCAGCAUUCUAUUCAGCCUUGUCUCUUUUGGUGCUACCUCCUGUGUUCUCUUGGGCUUUUCCUCUUAUUAUCUUAGAGUGCUUUGCAGCUUUCUAUGGUGCCUUGCAUUUCAUUACACUGUUCACUGCAGUGUUCUCAUGGGCCAUGCUCUCCAACAUACCCUCCUAUGGUGUUUUCUUGGGCCUUGUCUUCCAUCUUGAUCUUCAUUGCAGUGCCCUUUUGGGCUUUAUCCCCAUCUUUAUGUUCCCUGUAGUGCACUUCUUGGCUUUGCCUUACAUUUUGAUGUUCUUUGCAGUGCCCUUUUGGGUCUUGUCCCCCAUCUUAAUGCUCCCUGCAGUGCCCUUUUAGGCUUUGUGCUCUGUUUUAAUGUUUCUUGUUGUUCUCUUUUGGGUCUUGCUGCACAUAUUGAUGUUCCCUGCACUGCCUUUUUGGGCUUUGUGCUCUGUUUUAAUGUUCCCUGUGGUGCCCUUUUGGGUCUUGCCCCCCAUAUUCAUUUUCCUUGUGGUGCCCUUUUGGGCCUUGUCCUCCAUCUUGAUGUUCCAUACAAUGUUAUCUGGUGCCUUGCCCUCCUUCUAAGUGUUCCCUGUGACAUCCUCUUGCAUUUUGACUUGUUUUAUUUUUCCUUGCAGUGUUUUUUUGGUGCCUUGCUCACCAUCUUGAUGUUCUCUGCAGUGCCCUUUUGGGCCUUGCUCUUCUUCAUCUUGAUGUUCUCUGCAGUGCCCUAUUGGGCCUUGCUCUUCAUCUUGAUGUUCUCUGCAGUGCCAUUUUGGGCCUUGCUCUCCAUCUUGCUGUUCCCUGCCAUGUUCUCUUGGGCCAUGCCCUCCUUUUUGUUGUUCCUGCAGUGUUCUUUUGGUGUUUCCAUUUGGCCUCCUAUGCUGCCUUCCCUUUGGCCUCUGUUCUUGGUGUUUCACACCAUGCUCUCCUUGCUGUUGCUUUCCCUUGUGCUUUCCCUUGGCUGUUCUCUUGCUUUUGCCCUUGCCUUCCUGUUGGCUGCUUGCUUUGCUUUCCUUUUGCUGGGGCUUUCUGUGCUUGUUCUGCCUUUGGCUCUAUGGGAUUUGCUGGGAGGUUCAUGUUAAUGUUGACCUCAAGCUGCACCUUAAUGGGAGCUUUAGUGAUAACUGCAGUUGUCUGCAGAGUAUCUGUAAGUAGAACCCUUUGUUUUUAUUUAAGUAACCUUCAUUCUAAUCAUAGUUCACAAUUCUACUUUGAAAGUAACUGCACCUUUAACCUUAGAAAUAGCAUUAGUUAUAUUCCUACUAUCAUUACUUCUAUCCCUAAUAGCAUGAAUUAUAUCCUACUGCUCCCUUCCAUCACAGUUAGUGUAAUGUUCACAGUGUGGUACCUGCAGAUGUGGGCAGUGCCUUCAUUGUCAUGUUGUGUCCAACAGGUUCCAGCAGAGCACAGAGAUGUGCGGCUCCUGAUGAGAGCAGCGAGGAACAGAAACCUGCAUUGCCUGGACCCAGCUUUGCUGAUGGUAACUCUCAGCCCAGCAGGGCCCUUAUAUUCCCUGGCUGAUGGAUGUUCCCCUUUGAUGCAGCACUCCAUGCUGCCAUGCAGGCGUUUAAUAAAGCUUUGGGGGGCUGACGAUCCAUCACAACAGCACAUCAGCUGCACAUAGCUGGAUUUGGUGCCGGAAAGCAGGUUGGGUUGUGGGGUUAGUUCUUCAUUUAGGCAGCAGCUCAGCUCUGUCCUACAAUGAACUCUAUGGGAACAUGUCAGACUUGCCUCCCCUUGUGGCCAGUCUCAGAGCUGCGCUGAUUUCAGUGUGCGCAGUUUAUUGUAACUACAUUGGUUUUAGCUUUAGAGUCAAUUAACCUCCAUUUAAUUGGAAUUAGCUUUUGAGUUAAGUUCUGUUAACCAAAUUGGUUUAAGGUUUGCGUUCAGUUAACCUUACCCAAAUUGGUUUUAGAUUUGACAUCACACUUAAACAAAUUGGUUUUAGCUUAGUAAUCUAUUAACUUCACCCACAUUGGGUUUUGUUUUGUAAUCAUUUAACUGCAACUAAAUUGGUUUUUGAUUUGUUGUUAAUUAAUCUUAAUCAAAUUGGUUAUAGCUUUUCAAUUAAUUAUUUUAACAAAAUUGGCUUUAGCUUUCAAUCAGUCAUUGUUAAUCAAAUUGGCUUUAGUUUUGCCAUUAUUUUUAAUCAAAUUGGCUUUAGUUUUGCAAUCAUUUAAUGUUACUUAAAUUGGUUGUAGCUUUACAACCGUUUAAGUUUAAUCUAAUUGGCUGUAGCUUUGCAAUCUAUCUACCUUAAUUGAAUUGGCUUUAGCUUUGCAAUCAUUUAAUCUUAAACUAAUUGGCUUUAACUUUGCUAUCAUUUAACCUUAACCAAAUUGGUUUAAGGUUUGAUUUCAAUUAAUAUCAGCCAAAUUGGCUUUAUUUAUCCUUGCUUACGGGGCUGGGCUAGCCCAUUUUUUUUCUAUCCGGGCUAACCCAGCCCCGUAACCAA